rnacentral:rRNA from 1 species
CCAAUAGCGUAUAUUAAAGUUGUUGCAGUUAAAAAGCUCGUAGUUGAAUUUCGAGAUCAAUUUGUGGGUCGUGCCUCGGUACGUACUGGCAUUAUUGAUUUCUCCUUUCUGAAGAACCGCGAUGUCAUUAAUUUGGUGUCGUGGGGAAUCAGGACUGUUACUUUGAAAAAAUUAGAGUGUUUAAAGCAGGCGCACGCUUGAAUACAUUAGCAUGGAAUAAUGAAAUAGGACGUUUGAUUCUAUUUUGUUGGUUUCUAGGAUCGACGUAAUGAUUAAUAGGGAUAGUUGGGGGCAUUAGUAUUCAAUUGUCAGAGGUGAAAUUCUUGGAUUUAUUGAAGACUAACUACUGCGAAAGCAUUUGCCAAGGAUGUCUUCAUUAAUCAAGAACGAAAGUUAGGGGAUCGAAGACGAUCAGAUACCGUCGUAGUCUUAACCAUAAACUAUGCCGACUAGGGAUCGGAUGAUGUUAAUUUUUUAAUGACUCAUUCGGCGCCUUACG